ACCUACGGGACGCAGCAGUAGGGAAUUUUCGUCAAUGGGCGCAAGCCUGAACGAGCAAUGCCGCGUGAACGAGGAAGGUCUUCGGAUCGUAAAGUUCUGUUGAAGGGGAAAAAGAGCGGAGAGAGGAAAUGGUCUCCGAUUGAUAUUACCCUUCGAGGAAGUCACGGCUAACUACGUGCCAGCAGCCGCGGUAAUACGUAGGUGGCGAGCGUUAUCCGGAAUGAUUGGGCGUAAAGGGUGCGUAGGCGGCCAGCUAAGUCCGGAGUGAAAGGUACGGGCUCAACCGGUACAGGCUCUGGAAACUG
rnacentral:rRNA from 1 species